GGCCACAAUGAAGUGAGUGGUGGGGAAAAUGGGAUAAAAUGAGAUAAAAUCAGAGAGGUCAUGGAAGUCCAAAUGAGGCACAGCAAAGUCCAAACCAUGAUAAGCCUUAGAGUUUACCAUAAGAACAAUGGGAAGCUCUCAGUGCGUAUUAAGCAGGUUAUCAUGGAAAGUUAAUAAAUUAACAACCAGAACAACUUUAACCAAAGGUCCCAGAUACUACACACGGCAGUCAAUAGUGUUCGAAGGAAGACAGUGAUUACAGGUCAUGUAAAAAUUUUAGGACUCUAUAAAAUAAAGUAGCUACUGACAGAAUGAACUAUUCCAAUUUUCCAUGUGAUGUGCAAAUUGACAAAGAUAACAUCUAAUAAAGUGAAACAUAUCAAGAGAUUUGGAAUUUUAGACUCUAUGAAACCUGUACCAAAAAAUCUAAAGAAAACUCUUUCACUGGACUCCCAUAACACUUGAUAAUAGUGAGAGGAUGUUUUAAAAACAUUUAUUGCAUGAAAUACUUUAAUUGAAUCAUUUAAUGAGUUCCAUAAGACGCGUGUGCAUUAUAAUAUUUCUUUUUCAACGCUUGCAUCUAAAGAUCUGAUGUUAACCAAGUCUAUAGCUAAGAAAUGUUAAAUCUAUUUAGCUAUUAUUUUAGGUUUCUAUUCAUUUCUCACUAACCUACAUAGAUUUUUAUAUUGUUUUCAGAUCAUAAAUUAGUUUCUAACUAGUGAUAAAAUGGCAAAGUUUAUAUUGCUCAUUGAUAAAAUAAAUCCAGACAAUUUAGAAUUAUUUAAAUAGCAACCAAUAAGCUAUGAUCCAUUCAUUCUUUGUGCGGGUUUUGGUGGGUUUUAAAACAUUUUUGUUUUAAAUCACUAGGAAAAAAAGACAUGAUCUUUCUCUUAAAAGCUUUUUUCUCCCCCAUGGAGGCAACACACCUUAAAAUGGAAGUUAAUAAGCAAUUAAUGGCACAGACUUAACUAAAAUAUUGCAAAUGUGAUAGUAUAAUAUCUUGGUAAAUAUGAGAAUUUUGAAAGCCAUAAAAUUAAAGACUUUGAUAUGUGUAAGAUCAAUAGACAUGACUUAUCACUAUUUAAUGUGAGCUUUAAUUUUUAAAUGCCACAUUCCAAUGAAAAAGUGUACUGCACAGGAAAAUUGAAAUUUCAAUAAAGUAUCAAGACAAAAGAAACAAACUUUAUAUUAAAGUACCUUUAAGAGGUUAUACUUACGCAGCAACCUCCUCUUUUGACAAUCCUUUGAAAUUCACCUCCAGAUAAUGAUCUAUGUCAUCUUUUUCUUUGAUCAACUGAGACCUAAAUGAAAUGGAAAGAAAUAAUAAAGCACUGCUUUAUCAAGUUGAAAAGCUCCCAAACAUAAAAUGCCACCAGGAGAACAGAAAUAUUUAAGGCCUGUCUGAAGCCAAAAUGGAACACAUCCUGAACAAUGGCGCUGCAUCUGGGUUCUCUUGGCUCAAGACCACAGAGGAAAUCACACAAGAUGGGUACUAUUAAAGGAGGAGAAUGGUUCUGAGCCAGAGAAAAGUGUUACAGAAUAUCUCAGCCUGCAAAGAAGCAAAUGAUAAUCCUCUAGGGGAACCAGUACAUCUUAACUACUCCACCACAAUUGUUCUCAAAGUGUUUCUGAUAUCUCAAUCAUCGCUUCAAUCGUCUCAAUUAUCACAAUCUUCCAUGAUGAAAAUUACCCUGAAUCAUUCUUGUUUUACUGAACACAUCCCCAAGGAAUAUCCGAAGAGAGAAUAUGUGAGGACCUUGUGAUGAGAUCUGUAUCUGCAGUGACAGCCUCAGAUCUCAGUGACCUAAAAGGACAACGUUUAUCUCCUGAUUGCAAUUUGUAACCAUCCCAGAUGCUGAGCAAGGACUCCAGGGUUCAUAAGGGAAGAUUGUCCUCAGCAGCUCCAGAGCUGUGGCUUUCUCUACCUGUUUCACCUUUUACCUUCUGCUCCCUUCCACUUUGUAUCUUGAGACCAUUUUGUAACUCUUUCACCCACUGACAACUACUACCCAAUUUUCAUCAGUUAUGUUUUGUUUGUGGUACUUAUACAUUUUUAUUUCACUGGGAUCUCAAGGAGGACGGGAGAUAAAUACAUGUGCUCCGUUUGUCAGCUUCUAAACCCUUUUCAGGAAUAGAAUACUAAAAUAAGACAGAGGAGAACUUUUUUUUUUUUUUGAGGAGAACUUAAAGAGCAGAAAAGAAAGGAAGAGAAAUUAUAGAACAAAACUAGAAAAUGUGAUGAAAAGCAACAGGGAGGCAUCGAUUAAAUCAUAAUGAUCAAGUCACCAAACUAUUUGUCUUGAAUUUGUAAUAGAUAAGUUAACUAAUAGAAUUAUAUAAAAUUGU